rnacentral:misc_RNA from 1 species
GAGAUUAUCGAAAAUGUGUUUCUGAGCAAAGGUCUAGUAUUCUAUCCAUUGAUGGACUCCCUAUUAUAAAUAGGUUGCGCCUUAGGAUGUCAUUGGAGAAUGUANNNNNNNNAUUGAUCUCAGACAAUUCUUGGACUUAUGGUGAUUUCAUGGAAGUGGAAUCCCGGAUAAUGAAAGCCUUGCAACCACAGCUUUUUCUAGACCCUACUCCCAAAUUGGAUAGGCUUUGUAAUGAUCCAACUCCG